rnacentral:rRNA from 1 species
UAGGGAAUCUUCCGCAAUGGGCGAAAGCCUGACGGAGCAACGCCGCGUGAGUGAAGAAGGUCUUCGGAUCGUAAAACUCUGUUAUUAGGGAAGAACAAAUGUGUAAGUAACUAUGCACGUCUUGACGGUACCUAAUCAGAAAGCCACGGCUAACUACGUGCCAGCAGCCGCGGUAAUACGUAGGUGGCAAGCGUUAUCCGGAAUUAUUGGGCGUAAAGCGCGCGUAGGCGGUUUUUUAAGUCUGAUGUGAAAGCCCACGGCUCAACCGUGGAGGGUCAUUGGAAACUGGAAAACUUGAGUGCAGAAGAGGAAAGUGGAAUUCCAUGUGUAGCGGUGAAAUGCGCAGAGAUAUGGAGGAACACCAGUGGCGAAGGCGACUUUCUGGUCUGUAACUGACGCUGAUAUGCGAAAGCGUGGGGAUCAAACAGG